GAUGAACGCUGGCGGCGUGCCUAAUACAUGCAAGUCGAGCGAACAGACGAGGAGCUUGCUCCUCUGACGUUAGCGGCGGACGGGUGAGUAACACGUGGAUAACCUACCUAUAAGACUGGGAUAACUUCGGGAAACCGGAGCUAAUACCGGAUAAUAUAUUGAACCGCAUGGUUCAAUAGUGAAAGACGGUUUUGCUGUCACUUAUAGAUGGAUCCGCGCCGCAUUAGCUAGUUGGUAAGGUAACGGCUUACCAAGGCAAGGAUGCGUAGCCGACCUGAGAGGGUGAUCGGCCACACUGGAAUUGAGAAACGGUCCAGACUCCUACGGGAGGAAGCAGUAGGGAAUCUUCCGCAAUGGGCGAAAGCCUGACGGAGCAACGCCGCGUGAGUGAUGAAGGUCUUCGGAUCGUAAAACUCUGUUAUUAGGGAAGAACAAAUGUGUAAGUAACUAUGCACGUCUUGACGGUACCUAAUGAGAAAGCCACGGCUAACUACGUG
rnacentral:rRNA from 1 species